rnacentral:rRNA from 1 species
CAGUCGCCGCGGUAAUACGUAGGGUGCGAGCGUUAAUCGGAAUUACUGGGUGUAAAGCGUGCGCAGGCGGUUGUGUAAGACAGGUGUGAAAUCCCCGGGCUUAACCGGGGAACUGCGCUUGUGACUGCACAGCUAGAGUAUGGCAGAGGGGGGUGGAAUUCCACGUGUAGCAGUGAAAUGCGUAGAGAUGUGGAGGAACACCGAUGGCGAAGGCAGCCCCCUGGGCCAAUACUGACGCUCAUGCACGAAAGCGUGGGGAGCAAACAGGAUUAGAUACCCCCGUAGUCCCUGUCUCUUAUAC